GAGUCUGCUCUGUCACCCAGGCUGGAGUGCAGUGGCACAAUCUCGGCUCACUGCAAGUUCUGCCUCCUGGGUUCACCUCAUUCUCCUGCCUCAGCCUCCCAAGUAGCUGGGACUACAGGUGCCUGCCACCAUACCUGGCUAAUGUUUUGUAUUUUUAGAGAGACGGGGUUUCACCGUGUUAGCCAGGAUGGUCUCGAUCUCCUGACCUCGUGAUCCGCCUGCCUCGGCCUCCCAAAGUGCUGGGAUUACACGCAUAAGCCCCCGCGUCCGGCCUCCUGUUUAAUUUCUAGUUGAGUUUAUUUGAUUCUUCUUUCUUCUUUUCUUGGCUAAUCUCGCUAAUGGUCUAUCAAUUUUAUUUAUCUUUUCAAAUAACCAACUUUUUGUUUUAUUUAUCUUUUGUAUUGUUUAUUUUGUUUCAAUUUCAUUUGGUUCUGCUCUGAUCUUUGCUAUGUCUUUUCUUCUGCUGGGUUUGGGUUUGGUUUGUUCUUGUUUCUCUAGCUCCUUGAGGUGUGACCUUAGAUUGUCUAUUUGCGCUUUUUCAGACUUUUUGAUGUAGGCAUGCAAUGCUAUGAACUUUCCUUUUAGCACUGCUUUUGCUGUAUUUCAGAGGUUUUGAUAGGUUGUGUCACUAUUAUUGUUCAGUCCAAAGAAUUUUUAAAUUUCCAUCCUGAUUUCAUUGUUGACCCAAUGAUCAUUCAGGAGCAGGUUAUUUAAUUUUCAUGUAUUUGCAUGAUUUUGAGGGUUCCUUUUGGAGUUGAUUUCCAAUUUUAUUCCACUGUGGUUUAAGAGAAUACUUGAUAUAAUUUGGGUUUUCUUAAAUUUAUUGAGACUUGUUUUGUGGCCCAUCAUAUGGUCUAUCUUGGAGAAUGUUUCAUGUGGUGGUGAAUACUAUGUAUAUUCUGCAGUUGUUGGGUAGAAUGUUCUGUAAAAUAACUGUUAAGUACAUUUGUUUUAGGGUAUAAUUUAAGUCCAUUUUUUCUUUGUUGACUUUUUUUUUUUUGAGACAGAGUUUCACUCUUGUUGCCCAGGCUGGAGUGCAAUGGCAUAAUCUUGGCUCACUGCAACCUCUGCCUCCUGGGUUCAAGUGAUUCUCCUGCCUCAGCCUCCUGAGUAGCUGGGAUUACAGGCAUGUGCCACAACACCCAGCUAAUUUUGUAGUUUUUUUUUAGUAGAGACGGGGUUUGGUCAGGCUGGUCUUGAACUCCUGACCUCAGGUGAUCCACCCACCUCUGCCUCCCAUAGUGCUGGGAUUACAGGUGUGAGCCACUGAGCCUGGCCUCUUUGUUGACUUUUUGUCUUAAUGACCUGUCUAGUGCUGUCAGUGGAGUGUUGAAGUCCCCCCCUAUUAUUAUGUUGCUGUCUAUCUCAUUUCUUAGGUCUAAUAGUCAUUGUUUUAUAAAUUUGGGAGCUCCAGUGUUAGGUGCAUAUAUAUUUAGGAUAGUGGAAUUUUCCUUUUGGACUAGUCCUUUUAUCAUUAUAUAAUGUCACUCUUUAUCUUUUUUAACCAUUGUUGUUUCAAAGUCUGUUUUGUCUAAUAUAAAAAUAGCUACUCUUGCUUGCUUUUGGUGUCCAUUUGCAUGGAAUAUCUCUUUCCACUCCUUCAGCUUAAGUUUAUGUGAGGCCUUAUGUGUUAGGUGAGUCUCUUGAAGACAGUAGAUACUUGGGUGGUGAAUUCUUAUCCAUUCUGCCAUUCUGUGUCUUUUAAGUGGACCAUUUAGGCCAUUUAUAUUCAAAAGUAGUAUUGAGAUAUGAGGUACUAUUCUAGUCUAUUCAUUGUACUGUUUGUUACCUGAAUACCUUGGGUGUUUUUUUUUUCAUUGUGUUAUUUUCUUAUAGGUUCUGUGAAAUUCAUGCUUUAAAGAGUUUCUAUUUUGGUGUAUUUCAAGGAUUUGUUUCAAGAUUUAGAGUUCCUUUUAGCAGUUCUUGUAGUGCUGGCUUGGUAAUGACGAAUUCUCUCAGCAUUUGUUUGUCUGAAAAAGACUGUAUCUUUCCUUCAUUUAUGAAGCUUAGUUUUGCAGAAUACAAAAUUCUUGGCUGAAAAUUAUUUUGUUUAAGGAGGCUAAAGAUAGGACCCCAAUCCCUUCUUGCUUGUAGCAUUUCUGCUGAGAAAUCUGCUGUUAAUCUGAUAGGUUUUCCUUUAUAGGUUACCUGAUGCUUUUGCCUCACAGCUCUUAAGAUUCUUUUGUUUGUCUUGACUUUAGAUAACCUGAUGACUAUGUGCCUAGAUGAUGAUCUUUUUGCAAUGAAUUUCCCUGGUGUUCUUUGAGCUUCUUGUAUUUGGAUGUCUAGAUCUCUAGCAAGGCCAGGGAAGUUUUCCUUGAUUAUUCCCUGAACUAUGUCUUCCAAACUUUUAGAUUUCUCUUCUUCCUUGGGAACACCACUUGUUCUUAGGUUUGGUCAUUUAAUAUAAUCCCAAACUUCUUCGAGGCUUUGUUCAUUGUUAAAAUUCUUUUUUCUUUGUGUUUGUCAGAUUGGGUUAAUUUGAAAGCCUUAUCUUUGAGCGCUGAAAUUCUUUCUGCUAUUUGUUUGAAUCUAUUGUUUGACACUUUCCAGUGUAUUUUGCAUUUCUCUAAGUAUGUCCUUCAUUUCCAGAAGCUGUGAUUGUUUUUUAUUUAUGCCAUCUAUUUCCCUGGAGAUUUUUCUGUCCAUAUGAUUUAACAUUUUAAAAUUUUCUUUAAGUUGGUAUUCACCUUUCUCUGGUGCCUCCUUGAGUAGCUUAAUAAUUGACCUUCUGAAUUCUUUUUCUGGCAAUUUAAAUAUUUCUUUUUCUUUUAGAUCCAUUGUUGGUGAGCUUAGUGUGAUCCAUUGUUGGUGAGCUUAGUGUGAUCUUUUGGGGGUGUUAAGGAACCUUAUUUUGUCAUACUACCAGAAUUGUUUUAUGGUUUAUUCUCAUUUGGGGAGACUAUGUCAUAGGGAAGACCUGGGGCUCAGGGGCUGCUGUUCAGGUUCUUUUGUCCCACAGGGUGCUCCCUUGAUGUGGUACUCUCCCCCUUCCCCUAGGGAAGGGGUGGGGCUUUCUGAGAGCUGAACUGCAGUGAUUGUUAUUUCUCUUCUGGGUCUAGCCACCCAGCGGAGCUGCUGGGCUCCAAGCUGGUACUGGGGAUUGUCUGCAAAGAGUCCUGUGAUGUGUCUUCAGGUCUCUCAGCUGUGGAUGCUGGCACCUGCUCUGGUGGAGGUAGCAGGGGAGUGAAGUGGACUGUGUGAGGGUCCUUGGUUGUGUUUUUGUUUGGUGUGCUGGUUUUGUGUUGGUUGACCUCUAGCCAGGAGGUGGUGCUUUCAAGAGAGCAUCAGCUGUGGUACUAUAGAGAGGAUACAAGUUUGCCCUAGGGUUGCCUGGAUAAGUAUUCGGGUUUCUCAGGUGAUGGGCAGGGCCAUAGAGCUCCCAAGAGAUUAUGUCCUUUGUCUUCUGCUACCAGGGCAGGUAGAGAAAGACCAUCAGGUGGGGGCAGGGUUAGUUGUAUCUGAGUUCAGACUCUUGUUGGGUGGGGCUUGCUGUGACUGCUGUGGGGGAUAAGGGUGUGGUUCUCAGGCCAAUGGAGUUAUGUUCCCAGGGGGAUUAUGGCUGCCUCUGCCGUGUCAUACAGGUCGCCAGGGAAGUGGGGGAAAGCCGACAGUGACAGGUGUUACCCAGCUCCCACGCAGCUGGAAAGGCUGGUCUCACUGUCAGCAUGCUCCCCCAACAGCAUCAAGUUUAUUUCCAGGCAGCAGGCGAGCAGAGCUGAGAACUUGUCCCAGGCUACAAGCCUCCCUGCUGAGAACAGAAGCAGGGCUUUCAGAUUUUAUGCCUCUCUGCCUGCCACAGCUUCUGUGCUUGUAUCUGCACUCCCUGUUUGACCCCCUCCCCAGAUUCUGUCCAGGAAACUUCAUGUUCGGUAGAAAUUGUUAUAAAAUUCAACUGGAAGUUUUCCUCUCCCUCUGGUUUUUCCUCAAUUCCACUGGCAGCCCUCCCCAAGGUGCAAGAUAAAGACAGAAAAGGCUUCCCUGAGGACUGAGAGUGCCCACAGGGCUCUUGCUGCUGCUUUCUCUACCCCUAUAUUUUGUGCGGCUCUCAGCAUUUGUCUCAGCUCCAGGUUUGGUCAAAUCCUUCUCUUAUGAUCUGGACCUUCAGGUUUCCCAGUGAAGGGAAUGACAGAAUCUGGGAUGAUUUUCUUCUGUUUCUUAUCUAAAAAACAACAAAAAGCUCAGCAUACACUGACUCACACAAACCUUUUGCUAGAGGCAGCUCUGUAGACUUAAGACGCUGUCAUUUUUCAGAAGAACCCAGCUUGCUUUGGAACUACAGUCAGCCCUGCAACUCACCCUCACCUUGGACCCUGCUGCUGCUGUCUGUAAAGACAAUGCUGCGAUGAAUACACCUGUGCAUUCUUUUUUAGAACGAGUGUAAGGAUUCCUAUGUGUUCAUCUCAACCUUCCUUUACUGCAUAUAAUUUGUGCUUGUUUGAUUUUUCCUUUGGACCGGUGAAAACAUCUGUCUGGUUCCCUCAUCAUAUGAGUCAAAUAAAAUCUUUAACAUGUGUUCAUUUUUA